GGGUCAGUAGGUUGGUCGUGCCACCGGUACGUACUGGUCUCACUGAUUCCUCCUUCCUGAAGAACCAUAAUGCCAUUAAUUUGGUGUUGCGGGGAAACAGGACUGUUACUUUGAAAAAAUUACAGUGUUUAAAGCAAGCUAACGCUUGAAUACAUUAGCAUGGAAGAAUGAAAUAGGACGAUCGAUCCUAUUUUGUUGGUUUCUAGGAUUGACGUA
rnacentral:rRNA from 1 species